rnacentral:rRNA from 1 species
GACGAACGCUGGCGGCGUGCUUAACACAUGCAAGUCGAGCGGUAAGGCCCUUUCGGGGGUACACGAGCGGCGAACGGGUGAGUAACACGUGGGUGACCUGCCCUCAGCUCUGGGAUAAGCCCGGGAAACUGGGUCUAGUACCGGAUAUGACUCCAUGACGCAUGUUGUGGGGUGGAAAGCCUUGUGCGGCUGAGGAUGGGCCCGCGGCCUAUCAGCUUGUUGGUGGGGUGAUGGCCUACCAAGGCGACGACGGGUAGCCGGCCUGAGAGGGCGACCGGCCACACUGGGACUGAGACACGGCUCAGACUCCUACGGGAGGCAGCAGUGGGGAAUCUUGCGCAAUGGGCGAAAGCCUGACGCAGCGACGCCGCGUGAGGGAUGACGGCCUGGUUGUAA